UACAGAGGUCUCAAGCGUUGUUCGGAUUCAUUGGGCGUAAAGGGUGCGUAGGUGGCGAGGUAAGUCGGAUGUGAAAUCUCAGGGCUCAACCCUGAAACUGCAUUCGAUACUGCCUUGCUCGAGGACUGGAGAGGAGAUUGGAAUUCACGGUGUAGCAGUGAAAUGCGUAGAUAUCGUGAGGAAGACCAGUGGCGAAGGCGGAUCUCUGGGCAGUAACUGACGCUGAGGAGCGAAAGCGUGGGGAGCGAACAGG
rnacentral:rRNA from 1 species